rnacentral:rRNA from 1 species
UGAGGAACAUGACUUUCGGCGGGGGAUAGCCGGCCCAACGGCCGGGUAAUACCGCGUACGACCUCUCGGGGACAUCCCCGGUUGGUGAAAGCAGCAAUGCACCGAAAGAGUGCCUCGCGGCCUAUCAGCUAGUUGGUGAGGUAACGGCUCACCAAGGCGACGACGGGUAGCUGGUCUGAGAGGAUGGCCAGCCACAUUGGGACUGAGACACGGCCCAGACUCCGUACGGGAGGCAG